AAGAAAGAAAGAAAGAAAGAAAGAAAGAAGGAAGGAAAGAAGGAAAGAAGGAAAGAAAGAAAGAGUAAUUAGGAAACCAUACUAGGGAGGAGGUCCAUAUAGUGUCAUCGCUUGCCAAAGCACAACUACGUUUCAAGUGUAUCACAAGAUUCUUAACGAGAUUUUAAAUGUUGAAAAUCCAGACGUAAGCCAGGUGUGGUGUGCUCCCCUUUAGUCCCAGCAUUUGGCAGGCAGAGGCAGGCAGAUCUCUGUGAAUUCAUGGCUAGCCUGGUCUACAAAGUGAGAUCCUAGACAGCCAGGGUUACACAGAGAAACCCUGUCUCAAAACAAAAUGAAGGAAAGGAAGGAAGGAAAGAAAGAAGAAAA